UCUCCGUUGGUGAACCAGCGGAGGGAUCAUUACAGAGUCGUAAAACACUCCCAAACCCAUGUGAACUUACCAAUGUUGCCUCGGCGGACCUACCCUGUAGCCAGCUACCCUGUAGCGCCUUACCCUGGAACGGCUUACCCUGCAACGGCUGCCGGUGGACUACCAAACUCUUGUUAUUUUAUGGUUAUCUGAGCGUCUUAUUUUAAUAAGUCAAAACUUUCAACAACGGAUCUCUUGGUUCUGGCAUCGAUGAAGAACGCAGC
rnacentral:misc_RNA from 1 species